GCUUCCCCCGCAGGUGCUCGGCACAAAAGCAGCAGCCAGCGGGGGGCAGAGGGCAGGGGUGCGCUGCUGAGUUCGGGGGGCUGUUCUGCGCUCUCCUGAGCUUGGGCUGUGGUACUGCAUU
rnacentral:snoRNA from 1 species